rnacentral:rRNA from 1 species
AAUGAUGGGUAGGGGAGCUUCCCAUACGGGUUGAAGCAUGACCGUAAGGACAUGUGGACAGUAUGGGAGUGAGAAUGUUGGCAUGAGUAGCGAGAUGUGGGGGAGAAUCCCACAGGCCGUAAACCCAAGGUUUCCAGGGGAAGGUUCGUCCGCCCUGGGUUAGUCGGGACCUAAGCUGAGGCCGAAAGGCGUAGGUGAUGG